rnacentral:misc_RNA from 1 species
UUUGGCUCAAAAUUCUAAAUUCUUUACGCUUUAUAUGCCCUCUCUUUUUCCAUUUUGAAGCAGUCUCUGACUCUCCAGGCAGAGCCUUGUUAUAGGCACAAACCCCGCUCUCGUCUUUCUUCUUCUUGGUUUGGCUAAUAAUUUGUUUGGGUUUUUGGUGGCUUGCCUUACAAUCCCAAAUAAGCCUCUCUCUUUUUCUCUGUGUGUUUAGCUGCAAAAUCUUCCCUUCUUUCCUUUUCAAUGGGUUGGUAAAGUAAAAAAUGGAGAUGACGACGACAUCUAUGAACCACCACCGACUCUGUCUUUUCUCUCUUUUUUCUUCUCCUCCGCCAUUUUAAGAAUUCAACGUCAAUCUUCUUGUCUCGUCUCUUCUCUCUCUCUCUCUAACGAACUUGUUUCUUCGGGGCGUUUUUGGGGA